AAUGGGUUUUAUUCAACUCACUGAAUGUUGGAAGCUAAGCAGAGCCAGGUCUAGUUAAUAUUGGGAUGGGUGACCACCGAGGAAUAACAGGGGGUCUCCAUUU
rnacentral:rRNA from 1 species